rnacentral:rRNA from 1 species
UACGUAGGGGGCAAGCGUUGUCCGGAAUUAUUGGGCGUAAAGCGCGCGCAGGCGGCAGGGAAAGUCUUGUGUCAAAGACCGGAGCUCAACUCCGGGCUGCAUGAGAAACUGUCCAGCUUGAGUGUAGGAGAGGGAAGUGGAAUUCCACGUGUAGCGGUGAAAUGCGUAGAGAUGUGGAGGAACACCAGUGGCGAAGGCGACCUUCUGGCCUAUAACUGACGCUGAGGCGCGAAAGCGUGGGGAGCAAACAGG